GACGAACGCUGGCGGCGUGCCUAAUACAUGCAAGUCGAGCGAAGUUUUUCUGGUGCUUGCACUAGAAAAACUUAGCGGCGAACGGGUGAGUAACACGUAAAGAACCUGCCUCGUAGACUGGGACAACUAUUGGAAACGAUAGCUAAUACCGGAUAACAGCAUUAACUGCAUGGUUGAUGUUUAAAAGUUGGUUUUGCUAACACUAUGAGAUGGCUUUGCGGUGCAUUAGCUAGUUGGUGGGGUAAAGGCCUACCAAGGCGACGAUGCAUAGCCGACCUGAGAGGGGGAUCGGCCACACUGGGACUGAGACACGGCCCAGACUCCUACGGGAGGCAGCAGUAGGGAAUCUUCCGCAAUGGGCGAAAGCCUGACGGAGCAACGCCGCGUGAGUGAAGAAGGAUUUCGGUUCGUAAAGCUCUGUUGUUAGGGAAGAAUGAUUGUGUAGUAACUAUGCACAGUAGAGACGGUACCUAACCAGAAAGCCACGGCUAACUACGUG
rnacentral:rRNA from 1 species